UACGGAGGGGGCAAGCGUUGUUCGGAAUUACUGGGCGUAAAGGGCGCGCAGGCGGCUGCUCAAGUCAGGCGUGAAAGGCCUGGGCUCAACCCGGGAAUUGCGCUUGAGACUGGGCUGGCUUGAGUGCGGGAGAGGAUGGUGGAAUUCCCGAGUGUAGAGGUGAAAUUCGUAGAUAUCGGGAGGAACACCGGUGGCGAAGGCGGUUCUCUGGGCCUUACCUGACGCUGAGGAGCGAAAGCGUGGGGAGCGAACAGG
rnacentral:rRNA from 1 species